rnacentral:rRNA from 1 species
AUUAAACGCUGGCGGCAUGCCUUACACAUGCAAGUCGAACGGCAGCACGGGGGCAACCCUGGUGGCGAGUGGCGGACGGGUGAGUAAAGCAUCGGAACGUAUCCUGGAGUGGGGGAUAACGUAGCGAAAGUUACGCUAAUACCGCAUAUUCUGUGAGCAGGAAAGCAGGGGAUCGCAAGACCUUGCGCUCUGGGAGCGGCCGAUGUCGGAUUAGCUAGUUGGUGGGGUAAAGGCCUACCAAGGCGACGAUCCGUAGCGGGUCUGAGAGGAUGAUCCGCCACACUGGGACUGAGACACGGCCCAGACUCCUACGGGAGGCAGCAGUGGGGAAUUUUGGACAAUGGGCGGAAGCCUGAUCCAGCCAUGCCGCGUGAGUGAAGAA